rnacentral:rRNA from 1 species
CCUACGAGUGGCAGCAGUGAGGAAUAUUGGUCAAUGGGCGCGAGCCUGAACCAGCCAAGUAGCGUGAAGGAUGACUGCCCUACGGGUUGUAAACUUCUUUUAUAAAGAAUUAAAUUGGGCCACGUGUCCCUUUUGUUAUGUACUUUAUGAAUAGGGAUCGGCUAACUCCGUGCCAGCAGCCGCGGUAAUACGGAGGAUCCGAGCGUUAUCCGGAUUUAUUGGGUUUAAAGGGAGCGUAGAUGGGUUGUUAAGUCAGUUGUGAAAGUUUGCGGCUCAACCGUAAAAUUGCAAUUGAUACUGGCAGUCUUGAGUACAGUUGAGGUAGGCGGAAUUCGUGGUGUAGCGGUGAAAUGCUUAGAUAUCACGAAGAACUCCGAUUGCGAAGGCAGCUUACUAAACUGCCACUGACAUUGAUGCUCGAAAGUGUGGGUAUCAAACAGGAUUAGAUACCCUUGUAGUC